GACGUAGGUGGCGAACGUUAUCCGGAAUUAUUGGGCGUAAAGGGUGCGUAGGUGGCCUGACAAGUUAUCAGUGGCAAAUCGAGGCUCAACCUCGUGGAAACUGGUAAUACUGUUCGGCUUGAGUACAGGAGAGGUUAACGGAACUCUAUGUGGAGCGGUAAAAUGCACAGAUAUAUAGAAGAACAUCAAUAAAGGCGAAGGCAGUUAACUAUUCUGUUACUGACGCUGAGGCACGAAAGCGUGGGGAGCAAAACGGA
rnacentral:rRNA from 1 species